AGCAAACGCUGGCGGCGUGCCUAAUACAUGCAAGUCGAACGGGGAAAGUAGCAAUACGAGUACUAGUGGCGCACGGGUGAGGAACACGUGGGUAAUCUGCCUUCGAGCGGGGGAUAACUAGUCGAAAGAUUAGCUAAUACCGCAUAAGACCACAAUGUCUGAGGACAAAGGGGUCAAAGUCGCAAGACACUUGAAGAUGAGCCCGCGUAAGAUUAGCUAGUUGGUGAGGUAAUGGCUCACCAAGGCGAUGAUCUUUAGCUGGUCUGAGAGGAUGAUCAGCCACACUGGAACUGAGACACGGUCCAGACUCCUACGGGAGGCAGCAGUAGGGAAUAUUGCGCAAUGGGGGAAACCCUGACGCAGCGACGCCGCGUGAGUGAUGAAGGCCUUCGGGUCGUAAAGCUCUGUUAUAUGGGAAUAAGAUCUGAAUGUACCAUGUGAGAAAGGAUCGGCUAACUUCGUGCCAGCAGCCGCCGCGU
rnacentral:rRNA from 1 species